rnacentral:rRNA from 1 species
CCUACGGGUGGCAGCAGUGGGGGAUAUUGCACAAUGGGGGAAACCCUGAUGCAGCGACGCCGCGUGGGUGAAGAAGCGCCUCGGCGCGUAAAGCCCUGUCAGCAGGGAAGAAAAUGACGGUACCUGAAGAAGAAGCCCCGGCUAACUACGUGCCAGCAGCCGCGGUAAUACGUAGGGGGCAAGCGUUAUCCGGAUUUACUGGGUGUAAAGGGGGCGCAGGCGGGGAUGCAAGCCAGGAGUGAAAGCCCGGGGCCCAACCCCGGGACUGCUCUUGAAACUGCGUGGCUAGAGUGCAGGAGGGGCAGGCGGAAUUCUUGGUGUAGCGGUGAAAUGCGUAGAGAUCAGGAGGAACACCGGUGGCGAAGGCGACCUGCUGGACUGCAACUGACGUUGAGGCCCGAAAGCGUGGGGAGCAAACAGGAUUAGAUACCCGAGUAGUC